CAGCCGCCGCGGGAAUACGGAGGGAGCUAGCGUUGUUCGGAAUUACUGGGCGUAAAGCGUGCGUAGGCGGCUUCUUAAGUCGGAUGUGAAAUCCCUGAGCUUAACUUAGGAAUUGCAUUCGAUACUGGGAAGCUAGAGUAUGGGAGAGGAUGGUAGAAUUCCAGGUGUAGCGGUGAAAUGCGUAGAGAUCUGGAGGAAUACCGAUGGCGAAGGCAGCCAUCUGGCCUAAUACUGACGCUGAGGUACGAAAGCAUGGGGAGCAAACAGGAUUAGAUACCCCAGUAGUCCCUGUCUCUUAUAC
rnacentral:rRNA from 1 species